UACGUAGGGGGCAAGCGUUGUCCGGAAUCAUUGGGCGUAAAGAGCGCGUAGGCGGUCCGGUAAGUCCGCUCUGAAAGCCCGGGGCUCAACCCCGGGAGGCGGGCGGAUACUGUCGGGCUAGAGUCCGGAAGAGGCGAGUGGAAUUCCUGGUGUAGCGGUGAAAUGCGCAGAUAUCAGGAGGAACACCAAGUGCGAAGGCAGCUCGCUGGGACGUUACUGACGCUGAGACGCGAAAGCGUGGGGAGCAAACAGG
rnacentral:rRNA from 1 species